rnacentral:sRNA from 1 species
ACCCGUUAGGUGAGGCUCCAGCACAUAUACAGGCCGUUGCCCGGAAAGGUCCAAAGACCCCAACGGGUAGGACAGGCAUUGCCGGAUUAAGGUUCUGCCCAAGACGGCUGAGAGCAAUCUCUACGGUGUGCUGUGCCAAAGCUUGGACGAGUUGG